rnacentral:rRNA from 1 species
AUUGAACGCUGGCGGAAUGCUUUACACAUGCAAGUCGAACGGCAGCACGGGGGCAACCCUGGUGGCGAGUGGCGAACGGGUGAGUAAUACAUCGGAACGUGCCCAGUCGUGGGGGAUAACGUAGCGAAAGUUACGCUAAUACCGCAUACGAUCUAUGGAUGAAAGCGGGGGAUCGCAAGACCUCGCGCGAUUGGAGCGGCCGAUAUCAGAUUAGGUAGUUGGUGGGGUAAAGGCCCACCAAGCCAACGAUCUGUAGCUAGUCUGCGAGGACGACCAGCCACACUGGAACUGAGACACGGUCCAGACUCCUACGGGAGGCAGCAGUGGGGAAUUUUGGACAAUGGGCGAAAGCCUGAUCCAGCCAUUCCGCGUGCAGGAUGAAGGCCCUCGGGUUGUAAACUGCUUUUGUACAGAACGAAAAGGUUUCUACUAAUACUAGGAGCUCAUGACGGUACUGUAAGAAUAAGCACCGGCUAACUACGUGCCAGCAGCCGCGGUAA